rnacentral:sRNA from 1 species
CUUAAAAUGAUUUAUUUAUUUCACAAAAAUCCUAAAUUUCUUGAGGCUUAAACUUGCCACCAUUAAGAAAUUGAAGUCGUGAAAAGAAAUAUGAAGUGAAAGAAGUUGUGAUGAUAGGUGAAAGAGAAAAUGUGAUGAAAGGUGGGAAGAAAAAGAAGUUGUGAUGAUAGGUGAAAGAGAAAAUGUGAUAAAAGGUGUGAAGAAAGAGAAGUUGUGAUGAUAGGUGAAAGAGAAAAUGUGAUAAAAGGUGUGAAGAAAGAGGUUAUGAAGUGAUUCCUUUAGUGGUGUCUUUAUUGUGAAUUGCAUAAAAACCUAAACCUUGCUGCAGUGGCCUAGCAAAGUCAGAAAAUAAAACAUUGAAAAGAC